UGCGCGUGCGCGGAGGAUUUGGCGGGAAGUUCCAAGGCUUCGCUUGUGCACAUCAAGCUAAAGGCCGAGUUCAGAGGAGACCGACGAGAACCUGAGUCCCUGGCCCGCAGUCUUUUGACUUCGACGUCCUCUCUUGGAAAAAAAAAAAAGAUUUCUGAGCAGAAAGUCAAGCGUGGCCACCUUUCUGAGGUGCUGGAGGAACCCUAGUCAGUGUGCGAGCGACAAGUGUGGCUGUCAGCGCCUGAGCGCUUCGAGGCUGAGGUAACCGCCGCCCCGCUGCUGGUGUCCCCGGGCUUUGAGCGGGUUCCGCCUUGGAGGGAAGUUUCUGGGCCGGGCCCCACACGCAGCCUCUGGAGGACCCUGGUCCCUGAGGCCUGGCUUGGGGAUUGCCCAACCCGGCCGUUGGCUAUAAGGCCUUGAAGGGCAGGCUGGGCACUGGUGCAGACUGGAAGCUUGAAGAGGGUGGAGAGCUGGGGUGGCAGUGGCAGGGAAUGGCCGCCAUGAGCCUCCAGAGGGUAACCAGCUCAGAGAUGAUGAGAGCUAUGUCUUCUGGGCUAGUGAGGAGUGCUCUUCAACCCUCUCAUGUCCAGGGUGGUGCCAUGUUUGCCUAGGACACCGAUCCAGCUUUCUCAGACACUGCCCCCACCCAGUCCUUCUGUACAGAAACUUCCAGAUAGUCAAAGGAAGUGUUCAUUCUGGCUUUUAACUACUCCCUAACCCAGGUUUAAUAGCGGCGCACACACACACACACACACACACACACACACACACACACACACACACGACUUUUUCAUUGACAUGCUUCCUGUCACAUGUUUUGUUGUUUUUUUCUUGUGUUUUGGUUUGCUUUGCAGUCUUUGUUGCUUGGUGGUUUUGUUCAUUUCUUUAUUUUUUGUUUGUUUUGUUUGUUUGUUUUUGGUUUGGAUACUCAUGGAAUCAGGGUCUCAUGUAACCCAGGCUGGCCUGAAACUCAGCACAUAGUUAAGGAUGACCUUGAACUUCUGAUCCUGCCUCCACCCUGAGUGCUAGGAUCAUAGGGAUGGACUACUGACAUAUUUUCUGGGGCUGGAGAAAUAGCUCAUAGAUUAAGUGCGCAGGUUCCUCUUAGAGGAACCAGAUUUUGAUUCCCAGCACUCAUAUGGGGGUCCACAGCCAUCAGUAACUUCAGUUCCAGGGGAUCUGAUGUCCUCUUCUGGCCUUUGUGGGCACCAGGCUCAAUGUGGUGUACUGACAUAUAUAGAAGCAAAACACUGAUAUACACAAAAUAAUAAUAGAAACAAUUAUAUUUAAAGAAAAAUAUUUGGAGAAAUUUCUUUCCUAAAAUCCCCUGUUUCCCCAGGAAGGGCGUGUGUGUGUGUCUUUGGUUAGGUGUUCAGGUAACCGGGUAUCUCUCAGCAAACUGGGUUUGCUUUUUUUUUUUUAACAUUUCUUUUUCUUUUUUCAUUUUCAUGUAUAUGUAGUGUGUGUAUGUGUAUUCACAUGUGUACGAGGCCUGAAGUUGAUGUUAGAAUUUGGCCUCCAUUACUCUUCAACCUCACCAAUUGAGGUGAUGCCUCUCAAUCAAACCUAGAGCUUGUGAGUGCAACCAGUCUUGCUAGGCAGCUUGCUGUGGAGAUCCCUGUCUCUACCUCCUGAGGCUGGCAUUCCAGCUCACCAGACAUUUACAUGGGUGCUGGAGGCCCUAACUUUGGUCUUCACACUUGCAUGACAAACACUUUCAUCUCUGAGCUAUCUUGUCUACUUUCUUUCCUUUUUUAACAACAGGGUCUGACUCUUGAGCCCAAGCAGUCUUCACACUCAUAACACUUCUCCUCCUUCAUCCUCCUGAGGGCUAGGGUUUCAGGUGUGAGCCAUGGUGCAUAGCCACAGGAGUCAUCUCUGACUGUCCCUGUCCUUCACCUGGUCAAGUCACUGGAUCAUGAGUGGGCAUCUUUCAGGUCGCUCUACACUGCAGUUCUACUUUUAUCACUAAAGACCAUCCUACUGAUAGCUUCUGUCUGGAACAACAGGAGUCUAUGUAAUGUGGUCCUGUUCAUCUCUUGUUUUGAGUUGUCUUCAGUACUGUUCUGUUGCUGUGACGAGAUACCAUGACUAAGGCAACACUUAUAAAAGAAAGCAUUUAAUUGGGGCUGGCGUACAGUUUCAGAGGGUUAGUCCAUUAUCAUAGUGUCAAGCAGGCAUGAUGCUGGAGACAGAGCUGAGAGCUUCAUCCUGAUCCACAGGCAACAUGCUGAGAGACACACAGGGCCUGACACUUCAAAGCCCAUCCCUAGCAACACACUUACUCCAAGGCCACACCUACUCCAAUAAAUUCAUACUUCCUAAUCCUUCUUAUCCUUCUCAAAUAGUUUGUCAACUGGGGACCAAACAUUCAAGCAUGAGCCUAUAGAGACCAUUCUUAUUCAAACCACCACACAUUACAACAGUAAACUAGGCAGCUGUAUCCUAGAAGUUGAAAGGAAUAGGCAAGAGAAUCAGGAAUUUAAGAUUAUCUUUAGGUGCAGUUAAAGGCCUGCCUGGGCUGCUUGAGAACCUGUGUCAAAACAGCAAAGCAAAGCAAGCAAACAAACAAAAAACCACCAACCAUCUAGUGUGCAUGUUUGUGUAUGUGUGUGUGUUAUUUAUAUACACGUUAACGUGAGGAUGUGUACAGAUGAGUGCAGAUGUGCAUGCAUGUGUUUGCAUAAAGGCCAGAGGCUUCUAUGAUGCCUUUCAAUUCUUUUUUAUUUGGAUAGGCUCUAUAAUCCAUAAACAGCCUCAUAAGGAAGGCCUUUGUUCCAUCUCUGCACUUCCUCCCUAGAUGAUAUCAUCCCAUCUGACAACUUCCAGUGCCGCUGACUCAACUUUGUAUUUCCAUCCUGGUUUCCAUCCCUUGCAGAGUAGGACACUGCUUCCUCAGUAUAACCAUUUAGUUAGUGUAUAAGUCCUGUCAGACUUCACAGAAACAGAACUAUGGGUUCUAUCCCCUACAGCUUUUUCUCCAGAAUUGGCAGUUAAGAGUAAGCACUAUGGCUUACCCAAUUUCCAGAAGUCAUCAUUGAUUCCUGUAUCCUUCUCCUGCAUUAAUGUAAUGUAUCUCAAGUCCAGUUAUCACUACAAAAGCUCCAGGUCCCAGUUAGCAGCAACGUUCUACCUACCGCUCAGCUUCUAUCCUUUUCUUCCUAGCAGCCAGAUAUUAAAAUGCCUAAAGCCAGUGACAUGGUUCAGUGGGUAAAGGUACCUGCUGCCAAGCCUGCCGCUGAGUUCCAUCUAGGGGUCCCGCUUGGCAGAACUGACCUCUGACCUCCUGGAUUUGCUGUGGCAUAUUUGUACCUAUAAACAAAAUAAGAAAUUCUGAGAUUAAAGGUGUGUGCCACUACAUGUGGCUGCUGGCCUAGUCCUAGCCUGGCUGUGUAACUCUGCCCAAAUCAGAUGACCUCAGGGUAGGCCUGUCAGUUUAGUGUGUGUAGUGGUAGGGAUAGAACCGAGGGCCUCAUGGAUGCUGAGCAAGAAGUCUACAACUGAGCCUGAAUUUCACUAAAUUGCCUGUCUUCAUAAACUUAGUGAGUACAAUUUUAUAUCCCCAAUAUCUCACCAAAAAUUGAAUUAAAGCUAGUAAAAUAUUUCAAAUUUCCUGAGUGAAGUUUUCUUCCCUUAUAUAACGAGGCGGUUUCUUCAGAGUGUUCCACUGUUCCAUGCCAAGAACAAAGUUGUGUGUCCUUCCACACUUUCAUGCCCCCUCCUUCUGCCUCUAAGGCCCUUGAGUUAUGUAUCUCAGAGACAUAGGGCUUAUAGCUCAACUUUGUGAAAGGAGCUUUCUUUAUCUUGAUGAGGCUGUUCUUCUGUCAUUUGCCCUUCUGAAAAUACAACGUUGCUUCUCUUUCUUUUGUAAACUUCUAGUUUGCUGCUUUAAGCAGCAGACCCAGUUGGUAUAACCAAAAUAAAAAUAAAAAUUCCUAUU
rnacentral:lncRNA from 1 species